rnacentral:rRNA from 1 species
CCUACGGGUGGCAGCAGUGGGGGAUAUUGCACAAUGGGGGGAACCCUGAUGCAGCGACGCCGCGUGGGUGAAGAAGCGCCUCGGCGCGUAAAGCCCUGUCAGCAGGGAAGAAAAUGACGGUACAUGAAGAAGAAGCCCCGGCUAACUACGUGCCAGCAGCCGCGGUAAUACGGAGGGGGCAAGCGUUAUCCGGAUUUACUGGGUGUAAAGGGGCGGAAGAGGGGGUGGCAGGCCAGGAGUGAAAGCCGGGGGCCCAACCCGGGGAUUGCUCUUGGCACUGCGUGGCUGGAGUGCAGGAGGGGCAGGCGGAAUUCCUGGUGUAGCGGUGAAAUGCGUAGAUAUCAGGAGGAACACCGGUGGCGAAGGCGGCCUGCUGGACUGCAACUGACGUUGAGGCCCGAAAGCGUGGGGAGCAAACAGGAUUAGAUACCCCAGUAGUC